rnacentral:tRNA from 1 species
GGACGGUUAGCUCAGUGGUUUGAGCGCGGUGCUGACAACAACGACCAACACCAAGGUCGCGGGUUUGAUUCCCACUCGGUCCC